GACUGAUUCCAGCUGUGAGGAACUGCAGAAAGGCAAAUAAUAAGGAAAAAACAACACGUAUAACUGAGUGGAAGAUCCAUACAAAGCCACAACAGCUUGGCCCAUCCUCCUCAUGCUGGUCACCAGCCUGGUCACAUUUUGCUGUGGGAUGGCAUCCCAUUCCUCAACCAGGAGUUGUUGAAGGUCAACCAGCGUGAUUGUGUUGGUCACGUAUAGCACGCCCAAGCUGAUGUCACAAGUGUUCAAUUGGGUUGAGGUCUUGACUCACGGCCAUUCCAUCCUCUCCACUCCUAAAUUCUGAGGUUUAUUAACUGUGGACUGUCAGAGAGUCACUAUGAAGCCGU